rnacentral:rRNA from 1 species
AACGAACGCUGGCGGCAUGCCUAACACAUGCAAGUCGAACGAGACCUUCGGGUCUAGUGGCGCACGGGUGCGUAACGCGUGGGAACCUGCCCUUAGGUUCGGAAUAACUCCCCGAAAGGGGUGCUAAUACCGGAUAAUGUCUUCGGACCAAAGAUUUAUCGCCUUUGGAUGGGCCCGAGUUGGAUUAGCUAGUUGGUAGGGGAAAAGCCUACCAAGGCGACGAUCCAUAGCUGGUCUGAGAGGAUGAUCAGCCACACUGGGACUGAGACACGGCCCAGACUCCUACGGGAGGCAGCAGUGGGGAAUAUUGGACAAUGGGCGAAAGCCUGAUCCAGCAAUGCCGCGUGAGUGAUGAAGGCCUUAGGGUUGUAAAGCUCUUUUACCCGGGAUGAUAAUGACAGUACCGGGAGAAUAAGCUCCGGCUAACUCCGUG